GAGGCUCGUGUCAGUGGAAGCUGGGGUGUCGGCGGGCGGCCGCGGCCGGGUCUAGCGGUGCCUGCGGAAGAAGGAGGAGGAGGGCUGGCGAUGAGAAGCAGCAGGGGGAAUCAAGGGCAAGAAGGGACCCAGAGGGGCAGGUGGCUGAGAUGCUGGCGUCCAGGUGACCCGAGGAAUCCUCUGGAGAUACAGGCCCGCGCAUGCGCGUGCUCGAGCGCUGAAGCCCAUUGCCCGCAGGGCGCUGGACUGGCGCCCCGGCCGGCGAGGCUGUCUAGUCCAGGCUCCAGGCCCCGGCUCUGGCCAGGCGCCGCCGCCUCCCGGUGCAGCUGAAAGUCGACGAAGAGGGCGGGGCGGGGGCGGCUUGUGGACUUCCACACUUUUCCUCUCUUCGGGCCAGUCUGGGGAGAGGGUGGCUAGCUGUGGCGGCGGCCAAUUACGUGGCGGACCUGCGGGGCUAAGCUGGCACGUCACUUCCGACUAGUGGAGUUUUUAGCCUUUUAACAUUCAAGGAUUAGGUAAAAGUCUUGCAGUGAAAAACCCGAGGACCCUUACCGCAAGUGUCUUUUGCUCCCAGCUACUGAUACUGGAUUCCACUCGUGAUUCUCCCUUUCUUAGCGCAUUCAUGAUAUAGACAUCAGUCUCUGAGCUGGAGGAGGACAAAGGCAGCGGUCCUGUGAAUUCUAUGCUCUAGCUUGGGUUAAGGGAUUUGGAAUUGCACUUGUUUCAGAGAGCUCCCUCUUUGCCCACUAGCAGGGCAUUAGCUGGUGCUGAAGACAGUGGCUGCUUGGCGAGCCUGGAUCUCCAAGUGACCCCCUCAGCAACUCCUGAUGAACAGGACUGAAGCCAAUAUUAAAGCAAGUCAACCAAAGGUUCUCUGGUGUAGACAAGACAGCAAAAGGACAGACUACCUUGUGGAACCUAGCAUUGUUCUCCUUCUGCAGCACUAAGUAACAUUUGUUCUCCGUUAAGAUCUUUGCAAACCACACACAAGAAUUGCUGGUCAUCCUGCCAAUAGAUGCUGCUCACAGAACCAAAUUUCCUGUGCUGAAUUGUCACUCAUGGGCUUGAGAGUAGGAGACUGGAGACCAAGGUGGCUAGAAUCCAGUUGGGCCUGAUGUCUCCCUGUUGAAAGGGCUCCUUGUGGAAUGAAUAGCACAUGGCUCCUGUGGUGGAUCUGAUAGUGGCAUAGCACCAAGUGAUGCAGGCCUGCCAGGGGCCACAGACACAGAAGAUGCUCCCGGGGUCCCCCAUGUACUCCAGACACACUGCAGGCCACCUCUCCCAGCAGGUUGCCAGUCAUGGGCCCCAUCAUCAUGACUUCUGUCCAAGGUGUGCUCGGAAAUCUCUUCCUUAACUGUGACUUUCUGACAGGUGGAGGAUGUGGUCAGGAGUGGGAAAAGGAUUCGAGACGGGAAGAGGGAGGGGUUCAGGAUGAAGAGAGAUAAUCUGUGCCACAGAUGCUGGCCCUGCAGUUAGCUCCCACCUAGUCCGUGCACACACAUUCUAAUCCCCUCCCAUUCCUUUACAUGCUGCGGCCAGAGAGGCCUUUCUCAAAGUGGAAGUCUCAUCCUCACUUCUCUGGUUACAGUGCUGGGCCAUGGUAACUUACAAGGCUUAGCAGGAACUGUCUGCGCACUCCCCCUUCCUGCCCACUACCUUGUUUCCCUCCAGUUGCGAGAGAAAACAUUGAUUGAGCAUUAACUAUGUGCCAGGCUUGUCCUAAGUCCUUUGCAUGUAUUCACUCAAACAAUCCUCACAACAUUCCUAUCACAUCUCCCAUUUCACAGUGAGGGUUCUAAAGCACGUAGUGGGUGAGGAACUUGUCCAGGGUCACACAACUAAGUGGGGGUGGAGAAACAUCAAAUCUAGGUGGUCCAGGUGGUGGCCAGAACCCAUCAGCACCUCACUACAGCUGCCUCCAGUUUCUCGCUCUAGGAAAUACUCUUCCCUGUCAACUCCUGUUGUCCUCUGGGCUCAGUUGACAUGUCAUCUCCUUGAGGAGGACAUCCUGAGAUGCUCCCCGACUAGGGUGGGCACCCACUUCCACACUCCAAAUGCCUAUUUGACCUGUGUAUCGCUGCAUCCCCACUGCCUGGCAGAUAGCAGGCCCCUAAUAAAUAUGAUUUGAGCAAAUAAAUAUAGUUCUUCAAAAAAUAGGGAGGACUUCUUGCUUCAGGUAAUGGUAGGCUAGGACAUUUGGACCAACCCUCCUGCAGAAAAUAGCCAUUUAUUUUGAUGCAAUAUAUCUGGCUAUGACUAGAGAUUUCAAAUAUUUGGAGGGCUAUUAUGUGAAGAACUAAACUUACUCUUUGUGACAUAGAGGUCAGAAAUUGGUCGUUUCCAUAGAGUAUGAGAGAGACAGAAUUGUGCUCAUCAUAAGUAUCUUUUUUAAAAGUUAGACUUAAUAAAAUGGGCUGCCUUGGUAGGUGGUGAGUUCUCUGUCACGAAAGAGAUUCAGCCACUUGCUCUGAGAAAGCAUGGAGAAUAUCAACAUUGUAAGGGUCGACCACCUCAUCUCUGAGGCCCCCUCCUCACUUAGGUUGCCAUUGCAGGUGGAACACUGGGCUGAGUGUCAAAGAACCUGGGUUCCACAAGCUGUGCGACCAUGGCUGGUUGUUUUGGAUCUCAUUCCUAAUAUCUGUUAGUUAAGCUGACCCGUCAAUACUGACCCACUUCACAGAGUUAUGAAGGGAUUAAAUUAGGUAUUACAUGUAAAUCUGUUUUGUUUGCUUUUUGUUGUUCUUUUUUGUUUUGCUUUUUUCUUUGCAUUAUGAAAUCCCAAGUCAACUUUUUCCAUUCUUUUAUUUUUUUAAAAAUUGACAUCAUCAUUAUAACCACAAAAUAAUUUUUAAAAUGGAAAAAAAAAACUCACCUGCAACCCCACAAUCUAAUACAAUAAUCAUACUUUUUUCCCUUUAUUCUCCUUUAUUGUGACCAAGGAUGACUUUGGGCAUUGCUGUGAGGAACUAUUUCGUUUAACACCCUACUACCUGAACAUGAUGCGUACUCAGCCUUUCACCACCCCCCAAGUAGCUACACAUGAUGUGAUAAUAGUAUUGGUGGUGGUUUUAGAGAGUUGGAGAGAAAACUGAAGUUGGAUUUGGGUAAAAGAAAAAAGAGUGGGAAUUAUUUUUUCUCCAUUCUAAAGCCCAUAAAGCAAUGUUAAUUGUUCCCACCCCUCUGCUAUUCUGUCUCCUCAGGUACUGUGUGCAGAAAUGUGAUUGAGAUUCAAGUCAGGGCCUCUCUGCCCUUUUCCCUCCAGAAACAAAACCAAGAUAAUUUAUCCUGAACACGGUGAAAAAAGGAAGGGAGGGAGGAGAAAAAGUCCGGGUCUCACCUGGGAUUCUCUGUCUCCUGCAACAUGAAGGAUUUAGCCUGGGAGGAGGUGGUGAGAACUCUGGGAGAGAAAAAAGAAGGAAAGAAUAGUUUUACCCAUGCUGAAGUUAAUUUAAACCUUCACCUAGAGAAGCAAAAAAAAAAAACCCACACUUUCCCAUUUUGUGCCUCCCUUCCUAGAGUUUUAGCCAAAGGUUUAGCUAAGUAAUUGGUUUUACCAGCGCACUCACUCCUCCUAUCCCAAGUCUGUUUGACUCCCUCCCCAUCAUCCUCCUCACCUCUUUUCAGGCAGGGUGGGGAUAGCAGCAGGAGGAGAUUUUGGGAGCCUGGCAACUCCUGCAAGGACCGCAGGACAGCCCCUCUGUGGGGAUGCGUGGUGCCCCAUCUGCCGCCCUUCUGAAGAAUGCACUGCCUUCACUUUUUACUGUGUUAGAGUCCAUCCAGACUGUUCUAUCCAAAAAAGUUUCUUUUUCCCCCACAGGCAAUCAGGAAAUGAUUCCUUUCCCGACUGCUUCUGUCUAGUGCCUGGGAAUCUUGAGUCAAUCCCUCAGUAAGUCAGUGACUAGGGAAAUCCCUCUCUGAGCCUCCCAGUUCAUGUUGCUUAGGGAACCUGAUAUUUUCGUGAAACCUGCCUACACAUGGGCAGCCCAACAGCAGAACAAAUGGUGGUGACCAAAGUGAACAAAGAAGUAUAGUUGUGCCAGCUUCGUAGUUGCCCAUGUGGACAAGUCAGCAGGAUCAGGACACGAGGAAGAGUAAAUGUGAGACAGUCAAUGUGACUUCUGCGAUAAACAGAUUUUUAAACCCCGAAAUUUUGCAAAAUUUUGGUGAAACCUGAACUUUCUUCGUUGCAUAUACUGGCACUAUCUGUACCAUCAUACAACUGUCUCACAUUAAAGCUAUUUUUCUUGGGCACUGAUGAGUAAGGUUGGUAUAAGUUCCUCAGAUCAACAAAAACCCAUUUUCCUGUAAGUCUUACAUUUAGUAUUUAAGGAACUAAAACUUAAAUACAUUUUGUGAAAUGGUUGACACUUCACUGAUAAUGAUUUAUUGCUUGGAUUAAUAAAUUUUCCAAAAGUUGUCUUAUGUAGAAUAUGGUUUGCAACCAGCAGAACCAUUAAUCUAUACUGCAAUGAUAUGCACUAUGUAUAAUUGUUUAAAAGCCUCUACUUAAUGAUGUAAAAUGCUCUAUUUAAUUACACAUUUGGGUAAACUGUAUACUAACAUCUGAUGGCAUUUUUCCACUGUUUGUUGCUUUUUUCAAA
rnacentral:lncRNA from 1 species